GUAUGUAGUCGAGUGAUGGUGAU
rnacentral:siRNA from 1 species